rnacentral:snRNA from 1 species
AUCACUACUCAGCCUUUUGGCUAAGUUCAAAUAUAGUUUCUGUUCUUAUCAAUUUAAUAUCUGAUAUAUCCUCUAUACAAGGACAAUAUAAUAGUGUCAGAAAAUUGGGACAUUAA